GCAGUCGACGAUGAAGCCUUUCGGGGUGGAUUAGUGGCGAACGGGUGAGUAACACGUGGGCAAUCUGCCCUGCACUCUGGGACAAGCCCUGGAAACGGGGUCUAAUACCGGAUAAUAUCCUUCCUCGCAUGGGGAGGGGUUGAAAGCUCCGGCGGUGCAGGAUGAGCCCGCGGCCUAUCAGCUUGUUGGUGAGGUAGAAGCUCACCAAGGCGACGACGGGUAGCCGGCCUGAGAGGGCGACCGGCCACACUGGGACUGAGACACGGCCCAGACUCCUACGGGAGGCAGCAGUGGGGAAUAUUGCACAAUGGGCGAAAGCCUGAUGCAGCGACGCCGCGUGAGGGAUGACGGCCUUCGGGUUGUAAACCUCUUUCAGCAGGGAAGAAGCGAAAGUGACGGUACCUGCAGAAGAAGCGCCGGCUAACUACGUGCCAGCAGCCGCGGUAAUACGUAGGGCGCAAGCGUUGUCCGGAAUUAUUGGGCGUAAAGAGCUCGUAGGCGGCUUGUCACGUCGGUUGUGAAAGCCCGGGGCUUAACCCCGGGUCUGCAGUCGAUACGGGCAGGCUAGAGUUCGGUAGGGGAGAUCGGAAUUCCUGGUGUAGCGGUGAAAUGCGCAGAUAUCAGGAGGAACACCGGUGGCGAAGGCGGAUCUCUGGGCCGAUACUGACGCUGAGGAGCGAAAGCGUGGGGAGCGAACAGG
rnacentral:rRNA from 1 species